UACAGAGACUGCAAGCGUUAUUCGGAUUCACUGGGCGUAAAGGGUGCGCAGGCGGCCGUGUGUGUGAGGCGUGAAAGCCCGAUGCUUAACAUCGGAAUUGCACCUCAAACUACACGGCUAGAGCAUUGGAGAGGGUAGCGGAAUUCACGGUGUAGCAGUGAAAUGCGUAGAUAUCGUAAGGAAGACCGGUGGCGAAAGCUAGUCUCUGGACAGUCACUGACACUGAGGCACGAAAGCGUGGGGAGCGAACAGG
rnacentral:rRNA from 1 species